UCAUCUGUUUGGGACAGCACAAAGUGAGAUAAAUUACAUUCCUUGCUCUCAAAAAACACAUUUUCUAGAGAUGCACUAAAAUAUAUUGCAAAAUGUUCACACAAAUGUCCUUAUUGAGAGUCACAUUUCCGAGAAAAGAGGGGGAGAACUGCAUGCAGUCCCAUUCAACGUGUGACAACAUUUAACUAGAUAAAUGCACACCAACAGUGGACAACUAAAUUCUAUGCAGCAUAUAUAGCAUUUAAUAAAGCCUUAAAUAUGAGGAAUACAAGAAUCUGUUAUCUUAAUAUGUGCCUUUUGUUUUUCAGGAGAGGGGAACAGUAGGACAAAGGAAGUUCGAUACACCUAUUGGAUACGGACUGUGAUUUAAAGAUCCCAAAGAAAGGGUUGCCAACAAGUCCUCCCUGCCAUGAGACAUAAACUGUAGUUUUGAGUUAACAAGGAAGAAGGCUGGUCGAGAGCCCAGCACAGCUGCUCUUUUGUGAAGCCAGAAAACCAAAGCUAACAAAACACAAGAUUACUGCACUGACAGAGAAGGUUUCUAAGAGAAGGAUGAGGAUCAGCACCAGGGUUAGAUCAAUGCAGUGGAAAGCCAGUUCUGUGUUGUAGGCUGGUCUCUGGUAUGAAUUAAUUCAAAGCUGGCCACAUGGACCUUGGUGAAUAAUGAGAAUAAACCUGACAGCU